GACGAACGCUGUCGGCGUGCUUAACAAAUGCAAGUCGCACGAGAGGCGAACGGGGGAGUAACACGUGGGUGCACUGCCGUGCGCUUCGGGGUAAGCUUGGGAAACUGGGACUAAUCCCGGAUCUUGCAAGAUGAGCUCGCGGCCUUGCAGCUUGUUGGUGGGGUAAUGGCUACCAAGGCGCGACGGGUAGCCGGCCUGAUAGGGUGUACGGCCACAUUGGGACUGAGACACGGCCCUGACUCCUACGGUCGGCAGUGUAUGGGAAUCUUGCAGUAUGAUCUGAGCUCUGGUACAGGGCCGUCGCGUUGUAGGUGAAGGCCUUGGCGUUGGUAACGCCCUACGACAGCGGUACCCGCAGUGCUAGUCCCGGCUGACUACGUGUCAGCCGCCGCGGUAAUUC
rnacentral:rRNA from 1 species